rnacentral:rRNA from 1 species
GCUAACGGCUGAACCAGCAACUUGGAAGAACGGAUGGAAAAAUCUAGUUAUAUUAAUAAUUUAGUAUAAUAUUAACUAUGUUAAAUAAAGUUCAAGGUAAAAUUAUGAUGAUGACAUUAAUUUAUCUAUCUAAAAAAUAAAGUCUUGACUAAGUCACGUGCCAGCAGUCGCGGUAAUACGUGGAAGACAAGUGUUAUUCAUGUUUAAUAGGUUUAAAGGGUACGUAGACAGUUAAUUAAGCCUGUAAGGGAACUGAUUAUACUAGAGUUUUAUGGGAGAAGGAUGGAGAACGAUGAGUGUAGAGAUGAAAUUUUAUGAUACCAUCUUGGGACUGGCAAGGGCGAAAGCAACCUUUUAUGUUAAAACUGACGUUCAGGGACGAAGGCUCGAUUAAUGAACAGGAUUAGGUACCCUAGUAUUGUGGGCAGACAAUGAUGAAUGUCAUAGAUAAGUUAUAAUUUGUGUAUAAACGAAAGUGUAAGCAUUCCACCUCAAGAGUAAUACGGCAACGUAUAAACUGAAAUCAUUAGACCGUUUCUGAAACCAGUAGUGAAGUAUGUUGUUUAAUUUGAUAUUCCACGUAAAACCUUACCACAAUUUGAAUACUUAUAUAUAUAUAAAUACAAGAGUUGCACGGCUGUCGUCAGUUAAUGUCGUGAGAUUUUGGUUAGUUCCAUAAAAUUAACGUAAACCCUUACUUUAUUUUUUUUUAUAAAGUAGCUCGCCGCUAUAUUGGUAAUGAUAUAAGGGACUAAGACAAGUCAUCAUGGCCUGAACAUUGUGGGCUAUAGACGUGCCGCGUAGGCCUUAACAAAGAGAUGCAAAAUUGUGAAAUUGAGCUAAUCUUAUAAAAC